AGUGAACGCUGGCGGCAGGCCCAACACAUGCAAGUCGAGCGGCAGCGCGUCCGACCACCCUCGGGUGGUCGGAUGGCGGCGAGCGGCGGACGGGUGAGGAAUGCAUCGGAAUCUGCCUCGUUGUGGGGGAUAACGUAGGGAAACUUACGCUAAUACCGCAUACGACCUACGGGUGAAAGUGGGGGACCUUCGGGCCUCACGCGAUGAGAUGAGCCGAUGCCGGAUUAGCUAGUUGGCGGGGUAAAGGCCCACCAAGGCGACGAUCCGUAGCUGGUCUGAGAGGAUGAUCAGCCACACUGGAACUGAGACACGGUCCAGACUCCUACGGGGGGCAGCAGUGGGGAAUAUUGGACAAUGGGCGCAAGCCUGAUCCAGCCAUGCCGCGUGAGUGAAG
rnacentral:rRNA from 1 species